rnacentral:rRNA from 1 species
UGGGGAAUAUUGCGCAAUGGGCGAAAGCCUGACGCAGCGACGCCGCGUGAGGGAUGAAGGUUUUCGGAUCGUAAACCUCUGUCAGAAGGGAAGAAACCGCACUGUGCUAAUCAGCAGUGCCUUGACGGUACCUUCAAAGGAAGCACCGGCUAACUCCGCGCCAGCAGCCGCGGUAAUACGGAGGGUGCAAGCGUUAAUCGGAAUUACUGGGCGUAAAGCGCACGUAGGCUGCUUUGUAAGUCAGGGGUGAAAUCCCACGGCUCAACCGUGGAACUGCCUUUGAUACUGCUUAGCUUGAAUCCGGGAGAGGGUGGCGGAAUUCCAGGUGUAGGAGUGAAAUCCGUAGAUAUCUGGAGGAACAUCAGUGGCGAAGGCGGCCACCUGGACCGGUAUUGACGCUGAGGUGCGAAAGCGUGGGGAGCAAACAGG